CUUCAGAUUGAAGGGGUCGAAGUGGAAGGUGAUAAAAUUGAAACAUUCUUUCCAAUGGGGAAUGAGGAAUGUCAACGAAGAUGCGAAUACAACCUCGAAUGUCAGGCGUGGCGGAGUUAUGUCAUAACAUCCUGCACUCUGUUCAAAGGAAAUCCUGUGAUCAAGAAAAAUAAGUAAAUAAACCUAAAAUUAUUAUUCAACGGAACCAAAAACCAUCAGAAGGAUUGUCUUCUUUUUUAAAAAGAGUAUAACAGAUUUUAUCUUAUUAAUAUGGAUCUAUCCCUUUCUAUCAUUAUAAUAUUACAAUUUCAAACUUUAACAAUAAAAAAAGACUACAACCAUA